UACGAAGGGGGCUAGCGUUACUCGGAAUUACUGGGCGUAAAGGGCGCGUAGGCGGCGCUUCAAGUUAGGCGUGAAAGUCCUGGGCUCAACCUGGGAACUGCGCUUAAGACUGGAGUGCUUGAGGAUGGAAGAGGGUCGUGGAAUUCCCAGUGUAGAGGUGAAAUUCGUAGAUAUUGGGAAGAACACCGGUGGCGAAGGCGGCGACCUGGUCCAUUACUGACGCUGAGGCGCGACAGCGUGGGGAGCAAACAGG
rnacentral:rRNA from 1 species